GACGUAGGGUCCAAGCGUUGUCCGGAUUUACUGGGCGUAAAGAGCGCGUAGGCGGUCUGAUAAGUGUGAAGUGAAAUCUCCAGGGCUCAACCCGGAAACUGCUUUACAUACUGUCAGACUGGAGUGAUGCAGAGGUUUGUGGAAUUCCUGGUGUAACGGUGAAAUGUGUUGAUAUCAGGAGGAACACCCAUGGCGAAGGCAGCAAACUGGGCAUCAACUGACGCUGAGGCGCGAAAGCGUGGGUAGCAAACAGG
rnacentral:rRNA from 1 species